AUCCCAUCAUGCUUAGGGUCAUGGUAACGUCCCAUCAUGCUUAGGGUCAGUGACUGAAGGAGGGCUCUCAAAGGAAUAUAGAGGGUGUGUCUCAGUCACCAGAUCUCAGUGACUGAAGGAGGGCUCUCAAAGGAAUAUAGAGGGUGUGUCUCAGUCACCAGAUCUCAACCCAAUUUAAGACUUAUGGAAUAUUUUGAAGCAGCGCCCGAGACAACAUUUUCCACCACCAUCAAGAAAACACAAAAUUAUGGAAUUUCUCGUGGAAGGAUUUGUGUUUCGUAUCCCUCCAAUAGAUUUCCAGACUUGUAGAAUCUAUGCCAAGGUGCAUUGAAACAUGGCCGCGGUCGAUGUUUGGGGUGUCGGGUUGAUGCAUUUUUUUCUCUGACGUGCAGAAUGUAAUUUUUUGGGGCCUGCACUACCGAAGGCUAUAUCGGUCUGCUAAUACUGGACUAGUAAAGGCCCAGUGCACCACUUUUGUGAAGAUAAUUAUUAUUUAAAAAAAUAUAUAAAAAAAAUCAUAUUUUUUUAUUCUGAUUUUUCACGGGGCGGUGCAUUGAAGUUGUUCUGACGGCUCAUGGUGACCCAACUCCCUAUUAAGAACCUCCUUUAUUUUUCACGGUUACCUCGGCUGUACACCUUUGCAGUCACUGGAAAUCUACCGGCCACUAGAGGACAUAGAUCCUCAUUUUCUCUUUAUAUAUAUAUAUUAUAUAUAUCUUCCAUCAUCACCCCUUCUCUUCUCCCUCCCACCCCUUCUCUCUUCCUCUCUCCAAGGGACACAAAUGCUAGUAACACCGGCAGGUUAGCAAGCAGGCUGCCAGCAAGCGAGAAGGACACGAGAGGAAAACGGUUAUUGUCAACCCCAGAUAUUAUCCAUCUAAAUGAACGGAAACUGCACAACACGAUAUCCCCUCAACGUCUACCGGCCAGCGCUUCAGCCACAAGCAAACUGACUGACUGAUAGAAACAAAUACAGUUUGAAAAACGAACAAAGAGCUGACAAGCAACGUGUCUCCAUUAAUAGACUAGAGAAAGAAACACACAACAGAUGUCCUGAUUGGCUCAAACCUUCAGACAGACGGGCAGUUGUAUUGUGGAACACAUCAACACAGAGAAAUCAAAUGGCUGACAAGCAGAUCAGGUUAGCAUGCAUUAGCUGUUAACAUUUAACUCUGGUGUCUCCCUCAAAUGUCACCCUAUACCCUAUAUUGUGCAC
rnacentral:lncRNA from 1 species